AUUUGUUUCAAUUUUUAAAAUUACAAUUAAGUAAUCUACAUCAUGGAAAUCUCUAUCUCUCACACUGUGCGCAUAUGGGUGUCUAUGGUUUUUGUGAGUGUCGCGGGCGCACAACAUAGGCGAAGAUGCAAAAAGAUUUAGGGCACGUUUGCUUGCUAUGAAACCAAGUUCUAUGAAAUUAAUUUCCUAGAAAAUAUGCAUCAUCUUAUGUUUAGUUCGUAAAUAAAACUAUUUCCAGGAAAUUGGGUAAAAAAAUCAGAAAUCGAUUAAACCAGAGCUCCCACCGCAUCCCUCUCUCUCUCUCUCUAUAUCAUUGUGCCCAAAUCUUUCUCAAAAGCCCCAAUCUCCCUGUCCCAUAGCACUAAAAUCUCCCAAAUCUGUUUGAACAGAGACCUUGGUUCCAAGUCCCUCAAAGAAACAUUCAAUCAAUCCAAACCCUCAAGCAUCAGGGGGUGCAAUUUGCCAGCAAAAUUGAAUGAAUAUUUCUCACAUUUGUUUUGGUUGGAGUGGCUCUAGCCUUGGUUGUUGCGUUUGCUUAUGGUCUCAAGACAAAAGGAGAGGAACAAGCUUAUGAGUCUUUUAAUGGGUGUUUAUCAUGGAGAACUCUGAGCAGGGUAUCCAUGAGGAUUUACAAAACAAGGCCAAGUUGAGGAAGAGGGUGGGGGUCGAUAAGAAUGACUCUUCAAUGAAGGACUUGGUGAUGUUCCACUUUGAGACUAUAUUGCUCACAUUAGGUUUCAGCUUGGACGACCCCAACACUUUUGCAGGGAGAAGUCAUAUGAUGCUUAAGUUGGGUCUGAGCAUCAAUGAAGACAAGGCUGCUAAUUGGGCACAUGAGAGACCCCUCUCUCUCUCUCUCUCUCUCUACUCGAAAACUUUUUGUUGUUUUGGAGAUGGAUGAUAGAAAGUAUUGAGUUGUUAAUAUCGUUGGGUUUUAUAGAUAAUGAUGUUUUUGAAGUUCAUGAAUGAAAUAAAAUGAAUAUGAAUUUCAUUC